UCAUGCACUCUGCACAAACCACAUAUCAUAUGAAGCCUGAGAUUCCACGGAUUCCAUUUGUAUAAGUCUCAUCCCUGUACGACCAAACCUCACUGAACUAGCAGCCAAGAAAGAGCAAGAAAACUGCUUCCCUUCACAGAGCCAUAGGUAUGAGCAGUCUAUCUGUCUGAGAUCAAAAGAUGUGUUCAAGGUCACAAAAACACUCUGAAGGUCAACGUCUCUGCUGAAGGUCAACGUCUCUGCUGAAGGUCAACGUCUCUGCUGAAGGUCAACGUCUCGGCUGAAGGUCAACGUCUCUGUGUCACUUUGACAUGAAUACUGAUAAUCUAUCAGGAUUUAUUUGUAAUAAACUGGUACGGCACAACAAGCGAUGCCAUUUUUUCACAGUUAUUCUUUCGACAAAUCUCUAAGGGGUUGACCAAUCACUGCAGAGUCGCCAUCUAACCAAUCAGAGCAGAGUGAGCUUUUGCAAAGUGGGGGCAUGGGCUCUUCAGAGCGUUUCAGACGGAGUGAAAAGUGGUCAUUUAUGAACAGGCAGUGUGAGGAAAAUAAAGCGCUGUUUCAACAUUGAAGCAUGAAAACAUGUCCUAGUGGAGCAACGACAUACAUGGACCUGAAAAGUAGCAUCACAGGGGACCUUUAAGAGGAUUAUUAUUGAUAAAAAUUAUUUAACAUGCACGCACACUAAUGUUUAAUUAAUCCACAAGUUAUCCACAGUGUGUGUGUGUGUGUGUGUGUGUGUGUGUGUGUGUGUGUGUGUGUGUGUGUGUGUGUGUGUGUGUGUGUACGCACAUUGUCUCCGAGGCGCAGGUAAAGUUUCUGCAGGAUCAGCAGGUCUCUGCAGAACAGCUCUCGGGUCAUGGUCAUGUGACAGACGGCCUGACAGAUGAGUGACACUGCUGAGCUGCUGCUGUACAGCUGAGACAGGCUGAUCCUCACACCCAGAGGCUGGCCUGCAAGACACAGAACAGGGCAACAAACACACUGUUAGAACCUGCCAGACACAGAGCAGGGCACAGAGCAGGGCAACAAACACACCGUCAGAACCUGCCAGACACAGAGCAGGGCAACUAACACUCACUUGCUGUAUCCUGUGAGACGGAGAGCAGGGGCGCUGAGCCCUCAGAGUCCGUCUCCAGGUCCAGCUCCCUCAGAAGAACAGUCAUGGCUGCCGCGGGGUUCCUGACGUCCUGCAGUUUGUUCUGGAUAUCCUCCAUCACGGUAUCACUGCACAUUUAAAAACACAUCUCUUUAAGAGGACCCGCUGGACAGCACGUUAUAGAACCAUGAAUAGAGUCAGCGCACCUGUCGUUGGACAGCAGGUUCUCCAGCACGAGGUCUGCUGCCCUCUCCGGUGACUGAAGGUGUUCCAGAGCUUUCUCCAUCUCGUAUGCCAUCUCUGCAGAAACUGCAUCACUGACGAGCCGCAGACACUGGACCAGCUGCAGCACGUCCCGGCCCAGCUCCGGGUCUAUGAUAGACAUAUACUCAGUAUCAUCAUCAUUUGGACCAGCUGCAGCAUUUCCCGGAUCCAAGUAGCAUCAUAUUAAUACCGUUGUUGUUGUUGUUGUUAUUAUUAUAAUAAUAAUAGAGAGCUGCAGGAAUGUUCUACCACAUAAAAUGUGUCAGUAAAUAUAUCCCACUGGAGGAUUAAAAAACAGAGGUGCUACCGGGAGUCCAGAUGAGACUACAAAAUGUCAACACGCGCAACAUUAGCCUUUAGCUUAGCGGUGUAGUCAUGUGACUGUGCUGUAGUUCCCCGGGCGCUGCACAAUAGCUGCGCACUGCUCCUAGUACUAGGAUGGGUUAAAUGCAGAGGACCAAUUUCAGAGGGUUUAAUUCUCCCAUUCUAUCUAUCUAGUUCCUUUAUAGCCCAACAUUAGCCGCACCUAGCUUAGCGGUUGAGACGUAAAGUCAUGUGACCGCUUAGUGAUGUGAACUCACCUUCGGCGAUGGCCGUCUCCUCUUCUGAUGACAGGUACUCUUCGUAGGACAGGUAAAGGUGAUCCACAGCAAAACAUGGCAGGAGGAACGACACGAAACCCUGAAACACAGUUUGAUUAUUUUGAGUUUUGUUUGUAGAAGCACAAUAGAUUUCAUGUCAAAUGUGUCAGCACUUUUUGAUCUGAUGAACUAGAACACUAACGAAGCCCAUUCCCUGAGGUGUCCUACUGAGUAUUCACGGGAGGUAUUGAGGCUAAACCCUUAACAUGACAACACCAUGUAUAAUGGGAAGCACCUUCUUCAGCAGGCAGGCCAUGCCGGUGCUGGGGCUGACGCUGAGGCCCAGAGGCAGGGACAGAGCCUCCUGGUACUGCAGGCAGCAGGCGUAGAACUUGGACCAGAACUCCACCUGCAGCUGUCGGUACUCCUCCUGAGAGAACUCGAACUCCGUCACACUGCUCUGCAGCUGCAGCAGGAAACACACAAGUUAAAGACAGACUAGGACCAGAACCAGAACCAGCUGUGUGGUGUAACUGUGAGCUCUGAAGCACCUCACUCUCCACCGCCACCGUCACCUCCUUCUUCAGACUCUCCCAGGACACAUCUGAGGUCCUGUCUCUGUCCGAGCCUCUGCGGAAGAUCUGAAGCACAACACACAGCAUCACCUGUACAGCUGCACGCACAGCAUCACCUGUACAGCUGCACGCACAGCAUCACCUGUACAGCUGCACGCACAGCAUCACCUGUACAGCUGCACGCACAGCAUCACCUGUACAGCUGCACGCACAGCAUCACCUGUACAGCUGUACGUAGAGCAGGUGUUUCUCACCUGUAGAGCUUUGAGUAUGGCUGAAGCUGUGAAGCGUAACGGGGAGAAGAGGACCUCCAGGUACGUCUCCUGUGAACACAGAGUAUGGUGGGAGCUCACAUGAUACGCUGGGUCUUUAAAUGUAGUUUCUCUCUAUCAGUUUGUUUAAAUCCUGAACUUGGUAAAAACCUGAACACGUUUAUAAAAAACAAUCAACAUGAUAUUACUUUCAUCAAUGAUAUGUAUUUUAUUUCGUCACAGCAACAAAGAGGAACACCUGCUGAGUUCAGCUGAACAAUGAAACAGGUCUUACUCUGGGGUCCUGGUCCACUCCGAUGUGGACUUCAUCUUCAGGUGCAGGCUGAACAAACACCUGGUUCCACUGACCUGCAGUGUUGCUGCAACACACACCACACACAUAAACCUACUGCUCAAAGGGACACUUCCUGUCAAGACAGAGCUCACCUGUGUGGGGACAGAGCUCACCUGUGUGGGGACAGAGCUCACCUGUGUGGGGACAGAGCUCACCUGUGGGGUGAAGAGCGAGGACACGUGGUCCAGGCUGUAGCGGUUGCUGUCAGUGGAGAUGAGUUGCAGCACGGUGAACUGUCCUCGGCCAGGUACUGCCAGGUAAACUCCGAGGCAGAGGCCAGUGGAGCAGAGGACCAGCCGCAGACGAUGUCCGUGCCCAGACAGACGCCUCGCCCCCCUGCAGGAUGGCAUGUACUCCAACAUGUCCGCCUCCAGCACACAGGCCUGGUCCUGGGAGGGACAGAUGCAGCGUUAGCUCUCUGCAGGGUCAGUUGGAUUGAGGUUCUGAUACUGCAGGGUCAGUUGGACUGAGGUUCUGCUACUGCAGGGUCAGUUGGACUGAGGUUCUGCUACUGCAGGGUUAGUUAGACUGAGGUUCUGAUACUGCAGGGUUAGAUGGACUGAGGUUCUGAUACUGCAGGGUCAGAUGGACUGAGGUUCUGCUACUGCAGGGUUAGUUAGACUGAGGUUCUGCUACUGCAGGGUUAGUUAGACUGAGGUUCUGCUACUGCAGGGUUAGUUAGACUGAUGUUGUGAUACUGCGGGGUUAGUUAGACUGAGGUUCUGCUACUGCAGGGUUAGUUAGACUGAGGUUCUGCUACUGCAGGGUUAGUUAGACUGAGGUUCUGCUACUGCAGGGUUAGUUAGACUGAGGUUCUGCUACUGCAGGGUUAGUUAGACUGAGGUUCUGCUACUGCAGGGUUAGUUAGACUGAGGUUCUGCUACUGCAGGGUUAGUUAGACUGAGGUAGACUGAGGUUCUGCUACUGCAGGGUUAGUUAGACUGAGGUUCUGCUACUGCAGGGUUAGUUAGACUGAGGUUCUGCUACUGCAGGGUUAGUUAGACUGAGGUUCUGCUACUGCAGGGUUAGUUAGACUGAGGUUCUGCUACUGCAGGGUUAGUUAGACUGAGGUUCUGCUACUGCAGGGUUAGUUAGACUGAGGUAGACUGAGGUUCUGCUACUGCAGGGUUAGUUAGACUGAGGUAGACUGAGGUUCUGCUACUGCAAGGUUAGUUAGACUGAGGUUCUGCUACUGCAGGGUUAGUUAGACUGAGGUUCUGCUACUGCAGGGUUAGUUAGACUGAGGUUCUGCUACUGCAGGGUUAGUUAGACUGAGGUUCUGCUACUGCAGGGUUAGUUAGACUGAGGUAGACUGAGGUUCUGCUACUGCAGGGUUAGUUAGACUGAGGUUCUGCUACUGCAGGGUUAGUUAGACUGAGGUUCUGAUACUGCAGGGUUAGUUAGACUGAGGUUCUGCUACUGCAGGGUUAGUUAGACUGAGGUUCUGCUACUGCAGGGUUAGUUAGACUGAGGUUCUGCUACUGCAGGGUUAGUUAGACUGAGGUUCUGACCCUGAAGCUCCACAGACGCAGCCUGAGGUCCUGACACAGAGCGAACAGGAAACAGUCGCCCUCCAGCUCUCGGACCGCAAGGCUCAGGGCGCCCCCGCCACCCUGUUCCCCCCGCAUGGCUGACGGCAUCCAGCCUGACAACCGCUGCAUCAUCGAGCUCCUCUUCAGCUCCACCACACACACCUCACCUGAGAGAGGGGGGACAGGUCUGACAGGUGUACCUGGAGAGUCGUGAGGACGCAGCGUCAGCACCAUGAUGCCCCCUGCAGGUGAAGCCAGGGCGUAGUGAGCUUCUCCGGACUCACUGAGCCAGCCGGUGGAGCAGCUGGACCCGCCCGCCCCCCCCGGGAUGAGAGCACUGUGAGAGGAGUCCUGCAAACUCAGCUUCCCCACAUCUGUGAAGAUGGACUGCAUGUGGAGCUCCGUCACCAGCUCCUGUUGACACAGAAACAGUCACUAAAUCCAGAAGCAGCCGUUCAAAGGGUUCUGUUCCUCUGAAGACUUCACAGCUAUGAAAGAACACAGGAUUCAUAUUCCACAUUCUUCAAAUUGACCUCUUUUGCUUUGAUGACAACUUUUCACGUCCUGCUAAAGUCCUGGUGCCAGAGACCACAGCACACCUUCAGAGGUCUAGAAGAGUCUAGCUCUCGACGGGUCAGGAGACCCUAUAUUAGACAGGGGGUCAUAAUGUUAUGGCUGAUCGGCAUAUAAUUAGGGUCUGAGACCAGAGGUCGGCGAAGACCCUAUUGUAAUCGCAAGCGAAGCGUUGCGAGCGUCAACCCUGCAAAACACACAGAAAACGACGGGCGAAAACGGGAUGGAAAUCUUGGCCGGUGGGUAGCCGCUCUACGGAAGCACCGUUGAUAUUGAAAGGGUUAUUACCAUUUUUCUUUUAAUACACUGCGCUCACUUUUGACCCCCGCAACAUAUGUGAAAACUCACCAAAUUUUGCACGCGCGUCAGAACUGGUGAAAAUUGCAAUGGUUAAUUGGUUCCGGAACUUUGCGUAAAACAAUGUGCAAGCCACGCCCACUUCCUUUUUAACGUAAACUCCCCCCCCUUUAACUUUCUCGUAAACGAACGAAAUUUGCUACGUAAGUCUAGGGUGCUGAGAUGAACCAAAAACCCUCUUGGUGGGGUAUGAAAAAAACGUACAGGAAGUCGGCCAUUUUGAAUACAGCAUUGGAAAAUUUAGAUUUAUCGCAUUUUUAGCCCUCCGUACUUUGAGGAAUUCCUCCUAGGGCACUUAUCCGAUCAACUCCAAACUUGGAAAGCAACGUAUUGAGACCUGGGCGGUAAAACGAUACCCAACAUAAUGUGGCACCCAGCUUCACGUCUGCGCUAUGCUAGGUGAUCCCUCGCCAUGGAACAAGAUGAUGUCAUAACUCCAACUGACAACCCCAAGACACCUAGGCCUAUUAUGGGGUGUCAUCAUAAGCAGUUACCAUGGCGACAGAUCACUCGUCAUGUUUAUGUUACAGCUGUAAUUCCAUGUACAUUCUCCGAUCAGCCUGAAACUUCCCACGUUUGCUAACGGCCGAGUCCUCUUGACACCUUUGUGACGCGGCGACGUGCGUACAACAGCAGACCUGCGCGGAGCGUCGAAGACCCGCUCAUCACUGCUCGCAGCUCUAACGUAACAGUAUAUACACACACACACUGGUCAGCCAUAACAUUAUGAACCCCUGAUCUGGCACCAGGACGUUAGCAGCAGGUCCUUUAAGACCUGUAAGAGAGGGGGGGUCUCCAUGGAUCAGACUUGUUUAUCCAGCACAUCCCACAGAUGCUCGAUGUCAACAAGUCAACACCUUGAACUCGCUGUGGUGUUCCUCAAACCAUUCCUGAACCACUUGCAGUGAAGCAGACGGCAUCAUCCUGCCGAGAGAGUCCACUGCCAUUAGGGAGUAAUGAGAGUAACAUCCACAUGAAUGACAAGACCCCACGUUUCCCAGCAGAAUAUUGCCCAGAACGUCACACUGCCUCCGCAGCUGGCCGUCUUCCCAAAGUGCAUCCUGGUGCCAUGUCUUCCCCAGGUAAGAGACGCUCCCGGCCGUCCACACAAGGUGAUCCAUCAGACCAGCCCACCCUCUUCCAUUGCUCUGUGGUCCAGUUCUGAUGCUCAGGUGCCCACUGUAGGCACUUUCGGCAGUGGACAACGGUCAGCAUGGGCACCCUGACCGGUCUGCAGCUAUGCAGUCCCCUCCUCAACAAGCUGUGAUGCUGUUUGUUCUGAGUCCUUUCUACCAGAACUUGCAGGAACUGCUUCAGCAGCCUUUUGGUUGGAUCGGACCUCACGGGCCAGCCUUCACUCCCCACUCACAUCAAUGAGCCUUUGCCGCCCAUGACCCUGUCACGGGUUCACCGGUUUUCCAACCUUGGACCACUUCUGGCAGGUACUGACCUCUGCAGACUAGUUGACGAUUUAGUAGAUUUCUCCUGCACUGAUCUACGCCCAUUUGAUAAGGGGUUCAGCUGUGUGGCACAGGACAGGGUUUCCCACACAAACUUUACUUGGGCAGGGCCGCCAAGGUAUCUUAACGGCCGCCAAAGUAAAUUUUGCGACCCAUUUAGGUUUUUUUUAAUCCUUCCGCAAGCACGACGCCAUCCACGAUAGAUUAACGAGUGGACAAUGAUCUCCUCGCUCUACGCCUCCAGUACCUGUUCGCUCUGCUAUCGUGUGUCGUGUACACUUAAAAGGUAAAGCACGACACCCCGAAAAAAAAGCUAACUGAUUAACAAUCGGCUCCUUUUGUGUGAGACAUUGUGUGAGUUUUUUUCGGUUUUAAAGCCCCAAGAGAAAAAUGUUAACAAAGCGAGUGGCUUGUGUUCAAUAGCCAACCAACUUGUCAAUGUUUCUCUGUGAUAAAUUAAGCCCGCCUGUUGGGUAUGUGCGUGCACUCGUGAGUGAGUGAGUGAGUGAGUGAGAUGGAGAAGGAGAGGGAGAGAGAAGAGGGGGAUAUGUAGCCUAAGUUUAUACAUAUUAAAAUGUUGAGUUGUUGGUUUUCCUCUGUAUUUCAAGAAUAAAACAUGUUGUUUGGAACAU